AGCGAACGCUGGCGGCAGGCCUAACACAUGCAAGUCGAACGAAGCCUUCGGGCUUAGUGGCGGACGGGUGAGUAACACGUGGGAACGUACCUUUUGGUUCGGAACAACUCAGGGAAACUUGAGCUAAUACCGGAUGAGCCCUUAGGGGGAAAGAUUUAUCGCCGAAAGAGCGGCCCGCGUUAGAUUAGCUAGUUGGUGAGGUAAAGGCUCACCAAGGCAACGAUCUAUAGCUGGUCUGAGAGGAUGAUCAGCCACACUGGGACUGAGACACGGCCCAGACUCCUACGGGAGGCAGCAGUGGGGAAUCUUGCGCAAUGGGCGAAAGCCUGACGCAGCCAUGCCGCGUGAAUGAUGAAGGUCUUAGGAUUGUAAAGUUCUUUUACCAGGGACGAUAAUGACGGUACCUGGAGAAAAAGCCCCGGCUAACUUCGUGCCAGCAGCCGCGGUAACAC
rnacentral:rRNA from 1 species